rnacentral:rRNA from 1 species
GAUGAACGCUGGCGGCGUGCCUAAUACAUGCAAGUCGAGCGAACAGACGAGGAUCUUGCUCCUCUGACGUUAGCGGCGGACGGGUGAGUAACACGUGGAUAACCUACCUAUAAGACUGGGAUAACUUCGGGAAACCGGAGCUAAUACCGGAUAAUAUAUUGAACCGCAUGGUUCAAUAGUGAAAGACGGUUUUGCUGUCACUUAUAGAUGGAUCCGCGCCGCAUUAGCUAGUUGGUACGGUAACGGCUUACCAAGGCAACGAUGCGUAGCCGACCUGAGAGGGUGAUCGGCCACACUGGAACUGAGACACGGUCCAGACUCCUACGGGAGGAAGCAGUAGGGAAUCUUCCGCAAUGGGCGAAAGCCUGACGGAGCAACGCCGCGUGAGUGAUGAAGGUCUUCGGAUCGUAAGACUCUGUUAUUAGGGAAGAACAAAUGUGUAAGUAACUAUGCACGUCUUGACGGUACCUAAUCAGAAAGCCACGGCUAACUACGUG